rnacentral:lncRNA from 1 species
GUCUAAUACUGCCAAAUUGCACCCCAUGGGAUAAUUUAAGAGGAAAUUACAUUUUUAUCUCCAAUCAAUGGACCAAUGUUAUGGCUUAUUUUAUAACAACAAUUCUUUUGCCUUUGCUUAUCUUUUGAGUCGAUAUUUUUAGACUGAGGUGGAAAAGACUGUUUGCUGUAAUCUUACCCUUAAUAUUGCUUUUUUUAUGUUUCCAUACAUAUAAUUUGUGCUGUGAGAAUUAGAGGAUAAUAAGUUUAUUAGUAGGCAGUAAUUUUCUCUACAGUUUCAUAAGAAAUGUUUUGAGUUUCAAAGGAUUUAUAGAAUUUACAGCAAUUGUCUUUGAGGAGUGAAUUCCCUCUGUCUGCUUCAUAGAAUAGCUGAGAUCAACCUUGAUUGCCUUUUAAGUCGAGUAAAUUGGAGGACAGGCUGCCCAGUAUCUUAGUUCUUCUAAGACUGCUUGCAAACCAGAAAGUGUGAACAGUGUGAUGACGAAUGCUCUUAAGACCAGGAGUUCAAGCUUAACUCCCAACCCCUUGAGUGUGGGCUAGACUUAGUGACCUGCUUCUAAGGAAUAGAGUAUGGAAAGAGGAAAAUAGCAACAUUACAGGAGAGAAACCUGAAAGCAACUUAACCAAGUGAUCACAGAAUCACUGGUAAUAACUCUUGUUGAUAUCAUGUGCCCCCAAUACAGUAUGAUGAAAAGACCCAUCAUCUCGGUGAUAUUUAUCCUCAAAAUCUAUAAUCUUACAACAAUUAUGAGAAAAUAUAGACAAACCCAAUUUGAAAGGAAGCAAGUCUACAAGAUACUUAACCAGUACUUUACAAAAGUGACAAGGUCACAAAAGACAGCACAAGACUGAGAAACUCACAGAUUGGAGGAAGCCAAAGAGACAUCAUGGCUGAGAUCAUGGUGGUGGAACCCUGGUUUGGAUCCUGGAACAGAAAAAAAGAACACUAAGUGGAAAAACUGAUGAAAUAUAAAUAACAUAAUAAAAAUCUAUAAUUUAAUUAAUGGUAUUGUACGACUAUUAAUCUCUUAAGUUUUAAAAAAUGGACCAUUAUUAUGUAAGAUAUUAACGUCAGGGGAAGCUAGGUAAAGGUUACUUGGGAACUCUCUGCAACUUUUCUAAAAUUAUUUUGGAUGGGUGUGGUGGCUCAUUCCCCCUGUAAUCUCAACACUUUAGAAGGAAAGGGCAGCAGGAUUGCUUGAGGUCAAGAGUUCAGCCUUGGCAAUGUAGAAAGACCCCAUCUUUACAAAAACGUAAAAAUAAAAAAUAGCCAGCAUGAUGGCACCUUCCAGUAGUCCUAGCUACUCAGGAGGCAUAGCCAGGAAGAUUGCUUGAACACAGGAGUUUGAGGCUGCAAGGUGCUAGAAUUGCACCACUGUACUGCAGCCUGGGAAACAGAGGCAGACACUGUCUCAAAAAAAAAAAAAAAAAGAAAGAAAGAAACAGAAAAGAAAAGAAAUAGAAAAAAUACUUCGAAAUACAUAGUUAAAAAAAUCUAAAAUUUGACCACUUUUCGCCAAUAAAAUUGCCUCUUUGGUACAAGCCACCAUGAUCUUUCUUCUGGUUUAUUUCAAUAGCUUCCUUGCAGGUCUCUGCUCUGUGCUCCUCACCCACCACCUGUAAGUCUUAAAUCUACUCUCGACAAACCAAGUAGAGUUAUUCCUUUAAAAUGUAAAUCAAAUUAUUUAAGUCUUUUGCUCAAAACCCUGAGCUGGCUCCCUAUUUCCAUCAAAGCAAAAGCCAAAAUCCUUAUGGUGACACACAAGUCCCUGAUGAUUAUUUUUCUCCCAUGGUUGCUUUAACCUCAUUUCCUACCACCACAGACCUCAUUCUCUGGGUUCCCACAUGCUGGCCUCCUUGCUAUUCCUGGAAAAUACAGACACAUAGGCCUUGGAUCCAUUUGCUCCCAUGGCCUGGAGCAUAUAUUCAGAUAUCUUCCUGGCCCACUCCCUUACCUUCUUUCCUAGACAAAGAUUUUUAUAUUGUGAAGAGACCCAAACCUCUGUAAUCCAAAUCUCCCAAUGCUUUGCUAACUUUUCUCCUUCUCAAAGCACAUUUAGUGUUUUCCGUAAAUUGGGGUUUUUCCUUUCAUGAUAAUUGUUUGCUAUUUGUUUCUCCUGAUUAGAGUGUAAAUUGCCCUCCAUGGGAGAAGGAAUCUUUGUCUUUUUUUUAAUCCACUGAUAAUCCCAAGUACCUAGAACAGUAUCUGGCACAUGGGAAAUGCAUAACAAAUUGUUAAAUUGAGUUUAAACUGACACAUUAAGGUCCCUAGGGUAUGGAACAACCUUCAAGUGGUGUCAGAAUACCUAGAAACUUUCAUAUAAUUUUUUUCUUUUU